CCUUUACAGAAGAACAAUGAAACACAAGCAAACAAGAAGCAAUAACAGCUCAAUUAAAACACAAAGGUCUCCGUCCCCAAGGUCUCCGCCCCCAAGGUCUCCGCCCCCAAGGUCUCCGCCCCCAAGGUCUCCGCCCCAAGUGGUUCUCUAUUCCAUGUAGAGCGUCUGAACAGACUGUGCACUGAUCUACAGUCCGCCCCAAGGUCUCCGCCCCAAGUGGUUCUCUAUUCCAUGUAGAGUUUCUGAACAGACUGUGCACUGAUCUACAGUCCGCCCCAAGGUCUCCGCCCCAAGUGGUUCUCUAUUCCAUGUAGAGUAUCUGAACAGACUGUGCACUGAUCUACAGUCCGCCCCAAGGUCUCCGCCCCAAGUGGUUCUCUAUUCCAUGUAGAGUAUCUGAACAGACUGUGCACUGAUCUACAGUCCGCCCCAAGGUCUCCGCCCCAAGUGGUUCUCUAUUCCAUGUAGAGUAUCUGAACAGACUGUGCACUGAUCUACAGUCCGCCCCAAGGUCUCCGCCCCAAGUGGUUCUCUAUUCCAUGUAGAGUAUCUGAACAGACUGUGCACUGAUCUACAGUCCGCCCCAAGGUCUCCGCCCCAAGUGGUUCUCUAUUCCAUGUAGAGUAUCUGAACAGACUGUGCACUGAUCUACAGUAAUGUGUUGGAAAGAGCCAUUCAGACACCCGAUGUCUAAACCAGUGUAAUCACAGGGUCAAGGCU